ensembl:lncRNA
CUGCUGUAAUCAUUGUUUGUCAUUUGCUGCUUGCUGCUUUGUUGACUUCUGCCUGCCAUGAACUGUUUCUCCUCUGCAAUGCCUGUCUGCCAUGCCACCCUGCCUUAUAGCCAGCUGAUUAUGGACUGCCACUUCUACAAACUGAGCUGAAAUAAACCUUUCCUCCUGCAACUUUGGGUGUCAGAACCCAAAACAUCCCUGAGAUUUGGUAUGGUUGGAUACGGCAACAAGAGCAAGAGGUAGAAUACCACUCAGAGUUUCAUGCAAGCAAGGAGCAACUGAGCCAUCAUCAUACAGAGGCACUGCACUGUGAUGAUAUACAGUAUAAAAAAAGACACUACACACUGGAGAAGAUUUCAUAUCCAUGUGCAUAGAGAGGACUCAAAACUGGAAACUAACAAGCAUUUCCAUCUAAGAUUACGAUUAAAUGGGAAAUGAUUAGUACUAUUGUUGCAAUGAAAAUGAGAGAGAAAUGCCUGGGAUGGAUGGCAUUUAAAGUAGGAUUUCUGAUCAAAAGAGUGAUUAACCCUUGCAGAACAAGUGAAAGAAAAAGAGAAUUUACCUCUUUGGAGUGGAGAUUUUCAUCCUCUUUAUUCAAGAUCAUCAGAGCCUAAAAGAGAACCCAGCAUGUUAUUGGCCACACUUGGAGAUGAAGAAUGGGCUGGAACAUGUACCCUUUGGCAGAGAUCUUGCCUUCCAGGAAAGGACUACAAUAAGGAGUUGUAAGUCUCCUGGGAACACUCUCCCUGAAGAGCAGGUCUGCAGUUGCCCAUUUGCCCUACAACUUACUGGCUGGAUACAUUCAAUUCAGAAGGAAAGUGCAGUAAGAAUGCCAUUGGGUACCUCAAACUCAAGUUCAUUUUGCCAUUUAGCUUUACCAAUAACACUUGAUGUUUUUCUAGAUUUCUAAUUGACAGAUAGAUGAUAGAUACAUAGAUACCUAAAUUGAAAAUUGGCUCAAAAUUAGCAGAAGAAAAGG